GUAGGUGGCAAGCGUUGUCCGGAAUUAUUGGGCGUAAAGCGCGCGCAGGUGGUUCUUUAAGUCUGAUGUGAAAGCCCCCGGCUCAACCGGGGAGGGUCAUUGGAAACUGGGGAACUUGAGUGCAGGAGAGGAAAGUGGAAUUCCACGUAUAGCGGUGAAAUGCGUAGAUAUGUGGAGGAACACCAGUGGCGAAGGCGACUUUCUGGCCUGUAACUGACACUGAGGCGCGAAAGCGUGGGGAGCAAACAGGGAUUAGAUACCCUGGUAGUCCACGCCGUAAACGAUGAGUGCUAAGUGUUGGGGGGGUUUCCGCCCCCUCAGUGCUGCAGCUAACGCAUUAAGCACUCCGCCCUGGGAGUACGGUCGCAAGACUG
rnacentral:rRNA from 1 species